UGGCGGCGUGCUUAACACAUGCAAGUCGAACGAGGACUAGGGAGCUUGCUCCCUAGAGCCGAGUGGCGAACGGGUGCGUAACACGUGACCAACCUGUCCUAGGGUGGGGGACAACCUGGGGAAACCCGGACUAAUACCGCAUGAUGUUCCAACCUCGCAUGAGGAUGGGAUCAAAGAGGGCCUCUGCUUGCAUGCUCUCGCCCAAGGAGGGGGUCGCGACGUAUCAGCUUGUUGGUGGGGUAAUGGCCUACCAAGGCUACGACGCGUAGUGGGUCUGAGAGGACGACCCGCCACAUUGGGACUGAGAUACGGCCCAGACUCCUACGGGAGGCAGCAGUGGGGAAUAUUGCGCAAUGGCCGAAAGGUUGACGCAGCGACGCCGCGUGUGGGAGUAAGCCCUUCGGGGUGUAAACCACUGUCAGAGGGGAAGAACUCCAUCAUCUCGAAUAGGGAUGGCGACUGACGGUACCUCCAAAGGAAGCGCCGGCUAACUCCGUGCCAGCAGCCGCGGUAAUACGGAGGGCGCAAGCGUUGUUCGGAAUUACUGGGCGUAAAGCGCGUGUAGGCGGUCUCGUAAGUCGGAUGUGAAAUCCCGAGGCUCAACCUCGGAGGGUCAUCCGAAACUGCGGGGCUAGAGUCCCGGAGAGGGUGGCGGAAUUCCCGGUGUAGGGGUGAAAUCCGUAGAUAUCGGGAGGAACACCAGUGGCGAAGGCGGCCWCCUGGACGGUGACUGACGCUGAGACGCGAAAGCGUGGGGAGCAAACAGGAUUAGAUACCCUGGUAGUCCACGCCGUAAACGGUGGGUGCUAGGCGUCGGGGGUAUUGACCCCUCCGGUGCCGUAGCUAACGCGUUAAGCACCCCGCCUGGGGAGUACGGCCGCAAGGCUAAAACUCA
rnacentral:rRNA from 1 species